AGCAUUACGCCGGAUGAACGGAAAUCAUUGAUGUUGAUUAAUAUGGAAGAAUGUUCUUUUUGGUGCUAA
rnacentral:tRNA from 1 species